UACGGGGGGGGCAAGCGUUGUUCGGAAUUACUGGGCGUAAAGGGCUCGUAGGCGGCCAACUAAGUCAGACGUGAAAUCCCCAGGCUCAACCUGGGAACUGCGUCUGAUACUGGAUGGCUUAAAUCCGGGAGAGGGAUGCAGAAUUCCAGGUGUAGCGGUGAAAUGCGUAGAUAUCUGGAGGAAUACCGGUGGCGAAGGCGGCAUCCUGGACCGGCAUUGACGCUGAGGAGCGAAAGCCAGGGGAGCAAACGGG
rnacentral:rRNA from 1 species